rnacentral:misc_RNA from 1 species
GUCCGUAAAGGYGGAWGAGUGGUGUUUGGUUUGUCACGUGUGGUUGGCUGCGGCGUUUGCAACAACUUCCAUGCUUUCAGACCUCUUCAGUUGUGCGGCAAGGCUUGUAUCGCCUUGYUGUAUUGUGGGUUUUCUGUGUUGAAUACCUAAUCAAUGGUAUCGGUUGGAUUGAUCAAUGUUUCAUUUCGUCUGUCGUCGCAUUCGCGGCGUGAGACGAACCUCGAUGCGGUCUCUUUGGCCCACCUCGUCGAAGCACAUGCUUUGACGUUGUGGCACAUUGAGCAUUGCUUGGUCUCUUGUAUACGGAACAUAUAGUGGGCAUGGAUCUAACGAUUCUUGUUUGCCCUCAUGUUAGCGUAACGCUUCUCUUACACGACUUGCUCCACGUUUUAGCUCGUACGGACGUGGU